rnacentral:rRNA from 1 species
UGGGGAAUUUUGGACAAUGGGGGCAACCCUGAUCCAGCAAUGCCGCGUGUGUGAAGAAGGCCUUCGGGUUGUAAAGCACUUUUGUCCGGAAAGAAAACGCCGUGGUUAAUACCCGUGGCGGAUGACGGUACCGGAAGAAUAAGCACCGGCUAACUACGUGCCAGCAGCCGCGGUAAUACGUAGGGUGCAAGCGUUAAUCGGAAUUACUGGGCGUAAAGCGUGCGCAGGCGGUCCGCUAAGACAGAUGUGAAAUCCCCGGGCUUAACCUGGGAACUGCAUUUGUGACUGGCGGGCUAGAGUAUGGCAGAGGGGGGUAGAAUUCCACGUGUAGCAGUGAAAUGCGUAGAGAUGUGGAGGAACACCGAUGGCGAAGGCAGCCCCCUGGGCCAAUACUGACGCUCAUGCACGAAAGCGUGGGGAGCAAAACAGGAUUAGAUACCCUGGUAGUCCAGCGCCCUAAACGAUGUCAACUAGUUGUCGGGUCAUUCAUUGACUUGGUAACGUAGCUAACGCGUGAAGUUGACCGCCUGGGGAGUACGGUCGCAAGAUUAAAAACUC